GUGGAGCGGCGCGCGCGGGUCCGGCGGGGAGGGGGAGCGCGUCCCCGCGCCCCGGGCCCGCGCAGCAGGUGCGGCCAGGCCCCAACUCUCACGAGCGGUCCGGGCGACUCACCCCGACGAUGUCCCUCAGCGACCUAGAAGCCGCCACACACGUCUCUUCCGCCAGCAGCGACCCCGCCUCGUGGCCACCGCCCCCUCGACCGCCGCCGUCGCCGCCUUCCUCGCCGCCGCCGUCGCGGCGCGCGCCCGCUUUCACGCACACCGCCGUGGCCGCGCACGCGCUCUGCGCGCUGGCGUCACUUAGCAACGGCUCAACCGUGGGCCAGUAGAACCCAGGACGCCAGGGCCCCAGGUCGCCUCAGGCGGGGGUCUUGCGGCGUGUUUCCCCAGGUCGGAGCCACUGCCCCUCCAGUACUGGGCCCUGAGGGUGUGGCCGCCCUGCCGACACCUGGCUCAGGGUGAGGCACGUCAUCACACGUCACUGAAUAGCGUCAUCGGUCGCGUCACUGCGUAAGGGGACGAGCCGGAGCGCCGGUUGGAGAAAGCCUCGUCUUUCUGCACUUAGUCGCUUGCCUGAUGGACAGUCAGCUACGUGCGAGAAGUUGGACGAGGAGAAUGGGCCAAGAGAGGCAUUACCAGCAUGAAGGUGCUACGAGGCCAGGCCUGAAAUACCACGACUCAGUUUCCUCCUUCUGUCAGUGGGAAGACGGAUACCCGACUUGCCUGCGCUAGAAAGGUGUCAACUUAGGACGAAAUAAUGCAUGCGAGGCUGCGGGCGAACUGAUCUCAUUCGAACUCCUUAUUUCAAGACCCUGACAGAAAGCCCGGACAUAAGUCCUCGACACUCCAGGACUACCAAGUGUAACGUAUAAAGCCCAUUAGACUCCAUCUUUCACAUAAGAAGCAGGCACUGUGAACUUUGAAGCCGUAGAAAUUGGGUUGUAGGUCUUUCCUGGCCGAAACUGGAGAGUCGUCACUCUUGAAAGUUACUUACCUGGGUGUGUGGGUUUGAAGAUGGAAGACUUAAUUCCAAGCAAAGACGACUUAAAUGGGCAGUGAAAAUGAACAGACACAGCAAGGGUUAGGGCUGGGCCAGUGAAGGAUCAGAGCCACAACCUAGACUCUGGCGGUGGGGAUGGAAACGCGGAGGCCAGCUCUGAGCGGGGGAAUGAAUAGAUUAAUAAUCUGAUUAUGGGGCUGGAGAGAUGGCUCAGCGGCUAAGAUUACUGACUGCUCUUCCGAAGGUCAUGGGUUCAAAUCCCAGCAACCACAUGGUGGCUUACAACCAUCCUCAAUGAGAUCUGUCGCCCUCUUCUGGAGUGUCUGAAGACAACUACA
rnacentral:lncRNA from 1 species